rnacentral:lncRNA from 1 species
UGUAUAAUAUAAAAAAGAAGAUGUGGUAUGAUUGCCAAUGAGACAACUAUCCACAAAAGACCAAAAUGACACAGACAUUAACAACUAUAGGUCACCGUACGGCCUUCAACAAUGAGCAAAGCCCAUACCGCAUAGUCAGCUAUAAAAGGCCCCGAUAAGACAAUGUAAAACAAUUCAAACGAGAAAACUAACGGCCUUAUUUAUGUAAAAAAAAAAAAAAAUGAACGAAAAACAAAUAUGUAACACAUAAACAAACGCCAACCACUGAAUUACAGGCUCCUGACUUGGGACAGGCAC